rnacentral:rRNA from 1 species
UGGGGAAUUUUGGACAAUGGGCGCAAGCCUGAUCCAGCCAUUCCGCGUGCAGGAUGAAGGCCCUCGGGUUGUAAACUGCUUUUGUACGGAACGAAAAGGCUACUGGUUAAUACCUGGGGCUCAUGACGGUACCGUAAGAAUAAGCACCGGCUAACUACGUG